UAUCUUCCCACCUGUGCACUAUGUGUAGAUCUGUAUGCUAUUGUCAAGUCUUUACUAGGCUUGGUUGAGAGGAGUUGCUUGUUCCAUUGGACAAGCUCUUCUUGGGUAUGCAGGUCUAUGUUUUAUAUCAACACCAUAUGAAUAUAAUAGAAUGUGCUUUGGGCUUUUUAGCCUUUAAAACAUAUACAACUUUCAACAACGGAUCUCUUGGCUCUCGCAUCGAUGAAGAACGCAGCGAAAUGCGAUAAGUAAUGUGAAUUGCAGAAUUCAGUGAAUCAUCGAAUCUUUGAACGCACCUUGCGCUCCUUGGCAUUCCGAGGAGCAUGCCUGUUUGAGUGUCAUUAAAUUCUCAAUCCCCACAAUCUUGUGUUGCUGGGUGAUUGGAUUUUGGGGGCUUGCUGGCCUUGUUCAGCUCUCCUUAAAAGCAUUAGCAGGAUAUCAUGCCAUCUGUGCUUUGUAUGAUACAUAUCUAUACAUUGUACUUGUUGUGCACAACUGCUUCCAACUGUCAUCUGACAUUUGACCAAUUUGACCUCAAAUCAGGUAGGACUACCCGCUGAACUUAAGCAUA
rnacentral:rRNA from 1 species